rnacentral:rRNA from 1 species
CGUUUGAUUCUAUUUUGUUGGUUUCUAGGAUCGACGUAAUGAUUAAUAGGGAUAGUUGGGGGCAUUAGUAUUCAAUUGUCAGAGGUGAAAUUCUUGGAUUUAUUGAAGACUAACUACUGCGAAAGCAUUUGCCAAGGAUGUUUUCAUUAAUCAAGAACGAAAGUUAGGGGAUCGAAGACGAUCAGAUACCGUCGUAGUCUUAACCAUAAACUAUGCCGACUAGGGAUCGGAUGAUGUUAAUUUUUUAAUGACUCAUUCGGCGCCUUACGGGAAACCAAAGUGUUUGGGUUCCGGGGGGAGUAUGGUCGCAAGGCUGAAACUUAAAGGAAUUGACGGAAGGGCACCACCAGGGGUGGAGCCUGCGGCUUAAUUUGACUCAACACGGGGAAACUCACCAGGUCCAGA